rnacentral:tRNA from 1 species
CAUGGGCGUGGUGGAGGACGACACGUACCAGAUCGUGCUGGGUCCGGGCGCGGUCGCCCGCGUCACCCCGGAGUUCGAGGCCCUGGUCGUGGC